rnacentral:rRNA from 1 species
AGACACGGGCCCAACUCCUACGGGAGGCAGCAGUGGGGAAUCUUGGACAAUGGGCGAAAGCCUGACGCAGCGACGCCGCGUGGGGGAAGAAGGCCUUAGGGUUGUAAACUCCUUUUGUCGGGGAAAAAGUACUGACGGUACCGCACGAAGAAGCCCCGGCUAACUACGUGCCAGCAGCCGCGGUAAUACGUAGGGGGCGAGCGUUACCCGGAAUCACUGGGCGUAAAGGGUGCGUAGGCGGCCGAGUGUGUCUGGCGUUAAAAUCCACGGCUCAACUGUGGGUAUGCGCUGGAAACUGCUUGGCUUGAGUGCAGCAGAGGCAGACGGAACUGCUGGUGUAGAGGUGAAAUUCGUAGAUAUCAGCAGGAACGCCGGUGGAGAAGUCGGUCUGCUGGGCUGUAACUGACGCUGAGGCACGAAAGCUAGGGAGCAAACCGGAUUAGAUACCCGGGUAGUCCUAGCCGUAAACGAUGCUCACUUGGUGUGGGGGCGAAGAGUCUCCGUGCUGAAGCUAACGCGUUAAGUGAGCCGCCUGGGGAGUAUGCCCGCAAGGGUGAAACUCAAAGGAAUUGACGGGGGCCCGCACAAGCAGUGGAGCGUGUGGUUUAAUUGGAGGCUAAGCCAAGAACCUUACCAGGGCUUGACAUGCUGGUGGUACCGAGCCGAGAGGUGAGGGACGCUGCCGAAAGGCAGUGAGCCAGCACAGGUGGUGCACGGUCGUCGUCAGCUCGUGCCGUGAGGUGUUGGGUUAAGUCCCGCAACGAGCGCAACCCCUGCCCUUAGUUGCCAGCACUUAGGGUGGGCACUCUAAGGGGACUGCCGGCGACGAGCCGGAGGAAGGAGGGGAUGACGUCAGAUACUCGUGCCCCUUAUGUCCUGGGCGACACACGCGCUACAAUGGGAUGGACAGCGGGAAGCGAGGCAGCGAUGCUGAGCAAAGCCCUUAAACCAUUCCCCAGUUCAGAUUGUGGGCUGAAACCCGCCCACAUGAAGCCGGAAUUGCUAGUAAUCGCGGAUCAGCCACGCCGCGGUGAAUACGUUCCCGGGCCUU